rnacentral:lncRNA from 1 species
AGAGUGCUCCUUCAAGGUUUAACUUUGCUUUUUCUGCCCAUAGACUGGAAUUAGGUGGACCUUUUGGAGACCUUGCUACUGGGUGAUGAGCUUUGCAAACCAAACAGAUUUGAUGCCAUCACUCCUAAUAAUCUCCAGUUAUGGCUGUUUUCUGAGCCUUGUAUGAACUUCAGGCUUAAAUUCUGCAUCUCAGCAGCCAAACUGUGUGGCUAAUAAAUCCCGAACACCGACAAAGGGUGUGUAGGAUUGGGAAUCUCAGCCCACAGGAUGAACCAAGAAGUGGAAGGUGGAGAUGGUGGCUGAAGUCUGCCAAGAUUCAGAGGAGCAGAGCAGCAUGCCAGACCCUCUCUGGAUGUGAGCAUAUCAGCCUGAGAGAAGAUGGACCAGAUGAAUAUUUCAUAUUGGUGGAUGAGAUCCCUAGAACUACAAUGGAGCGUUCAAGUUGUUACAAGGUAAUCCAUAGCAAGAUUGGGUUUAGAAAGCAUUUGAAAAUUCCACGUUUAGUACCAGAUAGGAUCAUUAGGACUGCACAGAUUGUUUUCCAGACUUUUUU